GACGAACCGAGCGAACGUUGUUCGGAAUCACUGGGCUUAAAGGGCGCGUAGGCGGGUUCUCAAGUCCGGGGUGAAAUCCCACAGCUCAACUGUGGAACUGCCUCGGAUACUGGGUGCCUCGAGGGUGGUAGGGGUAUGCGGAACUAUCGGUGGAGCGGUGAAAUGCGUUGAUAUCGAUAGGAACUCCGGUGGCGAAGGCGGCAUACUGGACCACAUCUGACGCUGAGGCGCGAAAGCCAGGGGGAGCGAACGGGG
rnacentral:rRNA from 1 species